rnacentral:rRNA from 1 species
ACGAACGCUGGCGGCGUGCUUAACACAUGCAAGUCGAACGGUGAAGCGCCUUCCUUUUUGGUGGGUGUGGAUGAGUGGCGAACGGGUGAGUAACACGUGAGUAACCUGCCCCCUUCUUCUGGAUAACCGCAUGAAAGUGUGGCUAAUACGGGAUAUUCUGGGUCUGUCGCAUGAUGGGUCUGGGAAAGAUAUUGUUUCGGUGGGGGAUGGGCUCGCGGCCUAUCAGCUUGUUGGUGGGGUGAUGGCCUACCAAGGCGGUGACGGGUAGCCGGCCUGAGAGGGUGGACGGUCCCACUGGGACUGAGACACGGCCCAGACUCCUACGGGAGGCAGCAGUGGGGAAUAGUGCACAAUGGGCGCAAGCCUGAUGCAGCGACGCCGCGUGAGGGAUGGAGGCCUUCGGGUUGUGAACCUCUUUCGCCAGUGAAGCAGGCCUGCCUCGUUUGUGGGUGGGUUGACGGUAGCUGGAUAAGAAGCGCCGGCUAACUACGUG